rnacentral:rRNA from 1 species
UACGGAGGGAGCUAGCGUUAUUCGGAAUUACUGGGCGUAAAGCGCACGUAGGCGGCUUUGUAAGUUAGAGGUGAAAGCCUGGAGCUCAACUCCAGAACUGCCUUUAAGACUGCAUCGCUUGAAUCCAGGAGAGGUGAGUGGAAUUCCGAGUGUAGAGGUGAAAUUCGUAGAUAUUCGGAAGAACACCAGUGGCGAAGGCGGCUCACUGGAGCUGGUAUUGACGCUGAGGUGCGAAAGCGUGGGGAGCAAACAGG